rnacentral:rRNA from 1 species
UGAGGAAUAUUGGUCAAUGGCCGGAAGGCUGAACCAGCCAAGUCGCGUGAGGGAAGAAUGUCCUAUGGAUUGUAAACCUCUUUUGUCGGGGAGCAAAGUUAGCCACGUGUGGCUAUUGGAGAGUACCCGAAGAAAAAGCAUCGGCUAACUCCGUGCCAGCAGCCGCGGUAAUACGGAGGAUGCGAGCGUUAUCCGGAUUUAUUGGGUUUAAAGGGUGCGUAGGCGGGAUGUCAAGUCAGCGGUAAAAUAGCGGAGCUCAACUCCGUCGUGCCGUUGAAACUGAUAUUCUUGAGUGGGCGAGAAGUAUGCGGAAUGCGUGGUGUAGCGGUGAAAUGCAUAGAUAUCACGCAGAACUCCGAUUGCGAAGGCAGCAUACCGGCGCCCGACUGACGCUGAAGCACGAAAGCGUGGGUAUCGAACAGGAUUAGAUACCCUGGUAGUCCACGCAGUAAACGAUGAAUACUAAUUGUGCGUACCGAGUGAGGUAUGCGUGAUAAAGCGAAAGCGUUAAGUAUUCCACCUGGGGAGUACGCCGGCAACGGUG